AUGAACGCUGGCGGCGUGCCUAAUACAUGCAAGUCGAGCGAACGGACGAGAAGCUUGCUUCUCUGAUGUUAGCGGCGGACGGGUGAGUAACACGUGGAUAACCUACCUAUAAGACUGGGAUAACUUCGGGAAACCGGAGCUAAUACCGGAUAAUAUUUUGAACCGCAUGGUUCAAAAGUGAAAGACGGUCUUGCUGUCACUUAUAGAUGGAUCCGCGCUGCAUUAGCUAGUUGGUAAGGUAACGGCUUACCAAGGCAACGAUGCAUAGCCGACCUGAGAGGGUGAUCGGCCACACUGGAACUGAGACACGGUCCAGACUCCUACGGGAGGCAGCAGUAGGGAAUCUUCCGCAAUGGGCGAAAGCCUGACGGAGCAACGCCGCGUGAGUGAUGAAGGUCUUCGGAUCGUAAAACUCUGUUAUUAGGGAAGAACAUAUGUGUAAGUAACUGUGCACAUCUUGACGGUACCUAAUCAGAAAGCCACGGCUAACUACGCG
rnacentral:rRNA from 1 species